GGCGUGAGCCACCACACCCAGCCAUCCCUCUCAUUCUUUAAGUACUUCCAUGUUUUCUAAUGUACAAGAUGUUCCAUAUUAUUUUGUUAUUUGUCUUCCCCAGCUCUGAAAUAUGCCUUUCCUUCAAGGAGCCUUGGUUCUUUCUAGUGACAAAUUAUAUUUAGAAACCAAGAUCUGGGUAUUUGACUUGUAUAUUGCUAUUAGUUGGCCAUUGUUUCUAGUCUCUUUCAGUAGACAGAGCUAAGAAAUGUAAAAAGAAAUAUUUGAAUGUAUGUAUAUGUAGUAUAUUAAGUACAUUUAAGCAUAUUAAAUUCAUGAGUUCAUACUAAUACUUUCAAUAAGCCACAAUUCCCUUUUCAUGUUUUUGAAGGAAAAAUAUCCAUUGUCUAUAUACAGUGGACAUAGAUAGUAAUAAUACUGAUCCUGAAAAGAGCAAUCUUAAAUAGAUCCCAUUAAUCAUUAAAGAUAACAUAUCUUAGAAUUCUAGACAUUAAAGAGAGAGAUUACCCAGAGCUGUGAUCUAGAUGUUUUAUAGAUCUUUGCUGUGCUGUUUUGGAUUUGUGUUGGAGUAGAACAAUCAGAUGACAAAAGCUCAUCCCACGUGGAAAAAUCAAAGCAUUCAUUACAGAGAGAAUUUGAAAUAAAUGCAUAUAUAUAAAAAAUAUAUGCAUAUAUAAUGCAUAUGUAUAAAAAAUAUAUGCAUAUAUAAUGCAUAUGUAUAUGCAUAUCAUAUAUAUAUAUAUAUAAAAUGGGGUUAUGAACAAUGAAGGAAAUAGUGAUCCUAUCUAUGUGGGAACAAUACUAGUAUCCUCCCUUUGGAUGAAUACAGUAGCUACAGAUGCAACUCUGGGGACUCUGUUUAGCGAUAGCUUAACUAUUGCUUGGCUACAAGCAUGGAUAACUUGUUCAAAGAUAAUGAGGAGUUGUAAAUAUUUAAAUAAACAGGAUUUGCAACAUAAAAAGCUUCGUGACUCUGUGUCUGAAUUCUUAGAGUUUUCUCCCAGCAAGGCGUUGGAUGUGGCAGACUUUCCUGUAAUGGUCCAUCUCGCCCCUAUUUCUUGAAAAGCCAGAGCUUCUCCGCUUAGUUUGCUAACCCCAAAUAUAUAAAUUCAAUAGAAGUACUGGCCUGUUUUUACUGGUUUAUUUGCUUUAUCUAAAAAAAAAAAGGCAUAGUUUAAAGUCUGUUUUUGAUAGCAUAACAAAACAAAGGUUCUCAUUUUAAUAAUGCCUCACAUAUACACUUGGUAACUAUUGCAUGGUAAUAAUUUAAUAACUUGAAAAAUAUAUUUAUGCAUGUAUGUGUAUAUGUUCAUAUAUAUGUUAUUUUUAAUUUCAGAAGUAAAAAAAUAUUGGAACAGGCCACAGUUAUUAUAAAAAUAAUUUGACCAGUAUUGGACAAUGCAAAUAACAAUUAUUUAGAAGUUUCUGUGCAACAGAUGCCAUAUGUGUUACAUUUUAUUUGAUCGUCAAAACAAUAUUGUCAUAGAUAUUAUUAUCUUCAUUUCAUAGAAGAAACUGAGAUUACAUAAUUUGUUCAACUUGACCAACUUCUUAUAAUUAAUACAUAGUAGAGAUAAGGUUGAAACCUUGUUAGGUUUGACUCCAGACCCCAGCCUCUUUUGAGUGCAUCAUAAAAGGCUUUGGUCUGCACGUGGCCAGUAACAACUUUAACUAAAUUGAUUCUUUGCUUUUUAUCUGUAAAAGGAAGUUAUUCACCUAUUUUGAUGAUCUCCAAUGUUUUUAACAUCAAUAAGUGUGUCCACCACACAUGAUAGUUUUUAAUGUUUUGUUUCCAUGAUUACAAGAUCAAAAAACUAUUAAUUAGUGAUACUUUUAAUUUUGAUUUUAUUAAAUAAGACACAUCUGUCUACAUCUGAAGAAUAGCACUUGUGACAACAACAUAGACGGCUUCAUUUUGAGGAGUAAAUUACAAUUGAACAUGAACCAAAGAUACAUAGAGAAGGCGUGGACCACACAAAUGUGAUUGAAAGCUGGCGUGGAGUCAUCUUAAAUUGACUUUUUCCCAAAGGGUCCCUAAAAGAGAGUAGAAUCCCAACAGAUAGAGUCUAUGGAGAGAUAGACUUCUGAGACCCAUAUUAUGGUCAGUGAAGUGCAGGCAAGGAAGGGAUCCUUAGCAAAAUGGGGAGAGGAAUGGAUGGUCUGAAGAACCCUAAAGGAACUGAAACACUCUGCAAAGGAAAGAAGAUCAAGUAUCAGCUUUGACCCCUGCCAGACCCAGGCAGCAACAACAGCAGCUGACAAAGCACCAGAACAAACAUGCUUUCUUGUGCCCCUACAUGUCUUCCCUUCACCGUCUUGAACCCUGGUGUCAUCAUAAACUGUGUAAGUUAACAAUUGAGGAGGGGAAGAAUGAUAAAUUGGGAAAAUAGCAAAGUAUCUGUCUAGGCCCUACUUUCAUACUGUAGGCCAGCCUUCUGUAGCAUGGCAGAUUAGGCAAGUGCAGAAGACUUAAUUUUGAGUGAAAGUUGGAGUUUUUAUUCUGCUCUGGCUGUACCUAUCAGUUUCAAAACUGGAAUAGUUUAAAUGACUAAAGUACUAGGAAGAUUUUAUUACUUAAUAUAGCUAUGGAGAACUGACCAAGAUUUUAUCUAGGGGGAGGUGUAUCACCCUACAGAGCAGAUUUUAAGGGACGUUUUGAGAGAAAACAGUUACUUAGUGAUUUAAUGUUGCCAAUUCUGUUCUUUAGAAUACCAUCAUGUAUUUGUAUCCCUAUAUAUCACAUAACCUAAAAUAUACAUUUAUCUGUACGUGUGUGUAUCAUACGGAGCACAUUUUCUUUUGCAGGGUUUCUUUGUUUUAAGUGUCUAUUUGGUUAUUUUCUUGAUUGAAUUUCUGUGUAUGCUUUUUUCCUCAAUGCUUUAGCUGUAAGCAAAUAAGGUAAGGACUUUAUAUGCAAUAUUCUACAUGUUUUCUUUUAUAAUUAGAGAAUAUCUUAUUUUAUCUAAACCUCAUGUAUCAUGUGAUAUAUUUGACACCCUGUCAUAUAUCAUACUUGCAUGCAAAUGUUUAUGAAACACAAAUCAUCUCAAAUCAACAGGAUCAAAAUUAUAUUCGAAAAAUGUAUUCAAUAAUAUGUGUAAGAUGAGAUAAAAUUAAUUCUAAUUGAAUUCACACAGUAUUUGAAAUUGGACGUAAAUCUGUAAUAUCAAAUUACAUUACAUAUGAAUUAUUAUUAUAUUUGCAUUCAGGAAAUUGUACUGUGUUCACAUCUGAGUAUCACUUAAAAAGAACAUUAGAACAGAUACCCUAUUUUCACUUUCUCUUCUCUUUUCCUGCUCCUUUUCUUCCUCUUUUCAAUAACCUAAGUGUCAUCGAAAAAUCUCUCCAUCUUAAUUAUCAAUAUGAAAGACCGAUUCUGAGAAAUGUAGAGAACCUAAGAUUUGCAUUUUAGUGGAAUAUAGAAUAUAAUUAAUAAAUAUUUUUAUAAGUAUGUAAAAUAUUUAAGAGGUAAUAAUUUUAAGAUCUUAAAAGUCUUCUAUCAAAUACUGAAUUUUAGAUGUUAAGGCUAGCAGGGCUAUACAAAAAACAACAGCUUCUUGUAUGAAUGUUCCUCAGUUAGUUUAAAGAUUUAGUGUUCUAUUAUCAGUAUGUGGGCAUUAAAAAAAAACAGGUCAUUUGAAACUGAUAGAGAUAAUUAAGAAAUUACUAGAUUUUGGGUAUAGGUGCUGCAACUUAGAAUUUAAGUGUCAUCCAAAAGAGAUUAGUAUUGGUCAUAACAUGGACUCUAAAGCCACCAUUUAAAUGAAGCAUAUAAAAAAGGAUAUUCUAGUACACAAAAGUUAUUAAUGGCCUAGAAUGACCUCCUUCUCACUCAUAUGAUGCAAAGAAUAAAGUAUAUAAAAAUGUUUGUUACAAUGGCUAUCCAUAAAAAAAGAAAACCCUCCAAAACAGCAAAAUUGAAUAGGUACCCACAGUCAACUUUAUCCUGAAAAUUGCCUAGAAAUACUGGUUGCGAUUACACAGCAUUCUGAGACCAAUGAAUCUUUAGACAGUAAUCAUUUCCUACCCUAAAGCUAUUCUCUACUUCCUUCUUAGUGACAGAGCUCCUUUCUGCUCAAAUUUUAUGCCAGAUAAAAUAUUCACCUUCUCGGACUCCCUGUCACCAGGUGUGGCCAUGUAAUCUUACAGCACAGCUGAUGAAAGAGAAGCCAUCUUGCUGCUAUUUGACAAGCAAGAAGAUAAAAGCUUUCCUUUAAAGAUGAUGGAGCAAAAAGAUAGAAGGGGCCUAGACUCCCUACCUUCACACUUCCUGCUAUGAAAGCAUUGCUAUUAUAAGGUUAAUCUGCAGAAACAGACUUCUAUGUCAUAUGCUUAAAUGCAUCAAAAUUCAUACAAUAUUCAUUAAAUUGGUAAAAGUAUCCAUUUUAAAGGAUUAAUCUGAGGGACCCACAGACACUUAACACAAUCAAAUCUCAGAAAAAAAAAUCAGUUAUUGUGAUUUUGAGGCUGAUCUUUUAUGAUCUUUUAGUUAUCAAACUCUUAAAUACAUUUUAACUUUCAAAUUUUAUGAAUAAAGGAGAUGAAUCCUGUUAUUUUCUCAGUG